GCGCUGUUGAGGGAGUCGGGCCGCGACUGUGGUCGUUUUUAUACCUUCCCGCGCGGACGCCGGCGCUGCCAACGGAAGGGCGGGUAGGGCGGUGCGUGAUUAGGUUGGCGAAGGCUCUGCUGCCAUGAAGGUGAAGAUUAAGUGCUGGAACGGCGUGGCCACUUGGCUCUGGGUGGCCAACGAUGAGAACUGUGGCAUCUGCAGGAUGGCAUUUAACGGAUGCUGCCCUGACUGUGAGUGCCCGGCGACGACUGCCCGCUGGUGUGGGGCCAGUGCUCCCACUGCUUCCACAUGCAUUGCAUCCUCAAGUGGCUGCACGCACAGCAGGUGCAGCAGCACUGCCCCAUGUGCCGCCAGGAAUGGAAGUUCAAGGAGUGAGGCCCGACCUGGCUCUCGCUGGAGGGGCAUCCUGAGACUCCUUCCUCAUGCUGGCGCCGAUGGCUGCUGGGGACAGCGCCCCUGAGCUGCAACAAGGUGGAAACAAGGGCUGGAGCUGCGUUUGUUUUGCCAUCACUAUGUUGACACUUUUAUCCAAUAAGUGAAAACUCAUUAAACUACUCAAAUC
rnacentral:lncRNA from 1 species